GUGGCGCACGGGUGCGUAACGCGUAUGCAACCUACCCAAUGCUGGAGGAUAGCCCGGAGAAAUUCGGAUUAACCCUCCAUGAGGAGCUGAUGGGGCGUCCCAAUGGUUUCAAAUAUUCAUAGGCGUUGGAUGGGCAUGCGUGCUAUUAGAUAGUUGGCGGGGUAACGGCCCACCAAGUCGACGAUAGCUAGGGGAUCUGAGAGGACGGUCCCCCACACUGGUACUGAGACACGGACCAGACUCCUACGGGAGGCAGCAGUAAGGAAUAUUGGGCAAUGGAGGCAACUCUGACCCAGCCAUGCCGCGUGAAGGAUGGAGGCCCUACGGGUCGUAAACUUCUUUUGUCAGGGAAUAAAGUCAUCCACGUGUGGAUGUUUGCAGGUACCUGAAGAAUAAGCAUCGGCUAACUCCGUGCCAGCAGCCGCGGUAAUACGGAGGAUGCGAGCGUUAUCCGGAUUUAUUGGGUUUAAAGGGUGCGUAGGCGGGCCUUUAAGUCAGCGGUGAAAGUUCCCGGCUCAACCGGGUCAGUGCCGUUGAUACUGAGGGUCUUGAAUGCGGUCAAGGUAGGCGGAAUGUGAUGUGUAGCGGUGAAAUGCAUAGAUAUGUCACAGAACUCCGAUAGCGAAGGCAGCUUACCGGGCCUGCAUUGACGCUGAGGCACGAAAGCGUGGGGAUCAAACAGGAUUAGAUACCCUGGUAG
rnacentral:rRNA from 1 species